ACAACAACAAUAACAAGCGACCCCACAAUAAGAACAAGACGUAACGGCUCCAGCAAAACAACGACAACAACGCGGAGGCGCAGCUAACUGAUUCUUUUGGAGAGGACUUGCCGAGGCCACUGGCCAGCUGACCGGACCGAGAAGAACAAGAACUGCAUGAAAGCAGUACCCGUACCGGCCGACAGGCAACUCAGCGACCAAAGAAAUCCGUUUGCUAUUGGCUCCUGAUCGGAGCGUUCUUCCCAGCGAUACUGAUCUCUGGGAACAGGCGAAAACAAAAACAAACGCCUGCGAACAAUAACAACAGCACGCGACAAUCUUUCCAGAGGGGAGCUUCGGCUCCCCUCUGUGCUAUCGCCUCACAGUUUUGACACCCCC
rnacentral:sRNA from 1 species